GGGGCCGUGGGGUAGCCAGGUCUAGCCUUCUGGCUUUGGGUGCCAGUGACCCCGGUUCAAAUCCGGGCGGCCCCA
rfam:Candidate divison MSBL1 archaeon SCGC-AAA833K04 AAA833K04_Contig_8_C, whole genome shotgun sequence.